UAGUCCACGCCCUAAACGAUGUCAACUAGACGUUGGGUUCAUUAAGGAACUUAGUGUCGAAGCUAACGCGUUAAGUUGACCGCCUGGGGAGUACGGCCGCAAGGUUAAAACUCAAAUGAAUUGACGGGGGCCCGCACAAGCGGUGGAGCAUGUGGUUUAAUUCGAUGCAACGCGAAGAACCUUACCAGGUCUUGACAUCCUGAAAACUUUCUAGAGAUAGAUUGGUGCCUUCGGGAAUUCAGUGACAGGUGCUGCAUGGCUGUCGUCAGCUCGUGUCGUGAGAUGUUGGGUUAAGUCCCGUAACGAGCGCAACCCUUGUCCUUAGUUGCCAGCACAUAAUGGUGGGAACUCUAAGGAGACUGCCGGUGACAAACCGGGAGGAAGGUGGGGACGACGUCAAGUCAUCAUGGGCCCUUACGACCUGGGGCUACACACGUGCUACAAUGGGAACGCACAGAGGGGUUGCAACCUCGCGAGAGUAAGCU
rnacentral:rRNA from 1 species